AGGCCUAACACAUGCAAGUCGAACGGCAGCACAGGAGAGCUUGCUCUCUGGGUGGCGAGUGGCGGACGGGUGAGGAAUACAUCGGAAUCUACUUUUUCGUGGGGGAUAACGUAGGAAACUUACGCUAAUACCUGCAUACGACCUACGGGUGAAAGCAGGGGAUCUUCGGACCUUGCGCGAUUGAAUGAGCCGAUGUCGGAUUAGCUAGUUGGCGGGGUAAAGGCCCACCAAGGCGACGAUCCGUAGCUGGUCUAGAGAGGAUGAUCAGCCACACUGGAACUGAGACACGGUCCAGACUCCUACGGGAGGCAGCAGUGGGGAAUAUUGGACAAUGGGCGCAAGCCUAGAUCCAGCCAUUACCGCGUGGGUGAAGAAGGCCUUACGGGUUAGUAAAGCCCUUUNUAGUAGGGGAAAGAAAUCCAGGCUAGGCUAAAUACCCGGNUAGGGAUGACGGUAACCCAAAGAAUAAGCACCGGC
rnacentral:rRNA from 1 species